UCUCAAGAGUCCUUCCCUUUUCCUCUCUCUCCAUUCCAGAAACAACUUAAAAACCCUCCAAAAGAAAAAAGUUCCCAAAAAACCACAAAAAUCUAGGGUUUUCCAAAAGGACGAAGAAAAAUGGCGAUGGGAUCUACUGCAGCCGGAGGCCUUUUCAAGUCCCUCAGCCCAAGGCUCGCCUACAGUCAACCGACGUCGCCGCGCCGCGGUUGGGGCGUCGCCGCUUCCACCGCCGCUCUUGGCUCGUCCAGCCAUUUGAUUGGUUGAAGAAGCAGCUGUUCGAGAAGCCAGAACCGGAGCAGUGAAUUCUAGACUCGCUGUGCACAGAAGAAAUAUCGCUGGUAAAAAGCAAUCCUUCUCCCUUCAGUACUCUGUCGGGAAGAUAAAUAGGCACCAGAGGCUCACUUUAAUAAAAAAAAAACAAGGACUUUUGUUUUCUUUUUCCUACGAGUUCUUUUUCCUAGUUAUGUAUCAAGAACCACCUUUACCCAUGUUUCUACGCCAGGGUUGUGGCAUAACUGUGGCUGUCUGUUCAGUUGUGAAGAUGGUCUUAAUUGAGCUUAAUGAUAUUUUCCUUCUAUA